AUCCAGCUGACGAGUCCCGGAUAGGACGAAACGUGCGCCCUGGGU
rnacentral:hammerhead_ribozyme from 1 species